GACGAACGCUGGCGGCGUGCUUAACACAUGCAAGUCGAACGGAAAGGCCUCUUUCGGUGGGUACUCGAGUGGCGAACGGGUGAGUAACACGUGAGUAACCUGCCCUUGACUUUGGGAUAACUUCAGGAAACUGGGGCUAAUACCGGAUAGGAGCUCCUGCUGCAUGGUGGGGGUUGGAAAGUUUCGGCGGUUGGGGAUGGACUCGCGGCUUAUCAGCUUGUUGGUGGGGUAGUGGCUUACCAAGGCUUUGACGGGUAGCCGGCCUGAGAGGGUGACCGGCCACAUUGGGACUGAGAUACGGCCCAGACUCCUACGGGAGGCAGCAGUGGGGAAUAUUGCACAAUGGGUGGAAGCCUGAUGCAGCAACGCCGUGUGCGGGAUGACGGCCUUCGGGUUGUAAACCGCUUUCGCUCAUGACGAAGCUUUGUGUGACGGUAGUGGGUAAAGAAGCACCGGCUAACUACGUG
rnacentral:rRNA from 1 species